GUGUCAGCAGCCGCGGUAAAACGUAGGAGGCGAGCGUUAUCCGGAUUUACUGGGUGUAAAGCGCGUGCAGGCGGACGGGUAAGUUGGGUGUGAAAGCUCCCGGCUCAACUGGGAGAGGUCGCUCAAGACUGCCGGUCUGGAGCGUGGUAGGGGAAGGCGGAAUUCCGGGUGUAGUGGUGAAAUGCGUAGAUAUCCGGAGGAACACCAGUGGCGAAAGCGGCCUUCUGGACCACGACUGACGCUCAGACGCGAAAGCUAGGGGAGCAAACGGGAUUAGAAACCCCCGUAGUCC
rnacentral:rRNA from 1 species